UUAAGCGACUAAGCGUACACGGUGGAUGCCCUGGCAGUCAGAGGCGAUGAAGGACGUGCUAAUCUGCGAUAAGCGUCGGUAAGGUGAUAUGAACCGUUAUAACCGGCGAUUUCCGAAUGGGGAAACCCAGUGUGAUUCGUCACACUAUCAUUAACUGAAUCCAUAGGUUAAUGAGGCGAACCGGGGGAACUGAAACAUCUAAGUACCCCGAGGAAAAGAAAUCAACCGAGAUUCCCCCAGUAGCGGCGAGCGAACGGGGAGCAGCCCAGAGCCUGAAUCAGUGUGUGUGUUAGUGGAAGCGUCUGGAAAGGCGCGCGAUACAGGGUGACAGCCCCGUACACAAAAAUGCACAUGCUGUGAGCUCGAUGAGUAGGGCGGGACACGUGGUAUCCUGUCUGAAUAUGGGGGGACCAUCCUCCAAGGCUAAAUACUCCUGACUGACCGAUAGUGAACCAGUACCGUGAGGGAAAGGCGAAAAGAACCCCGGCGAGGGGAGUGAAAAAGAACCUGAAACCGUGUACGUACAAGCAGUGGGAGCACGCUUAGGCGUGUGACUGCGUACCUUUUGUAUAAUGGGUCAGCGACUUAUAUUCUGUAGCAAGGUUAACCGAAUAGGGGAGCCGAAGGGAAACCGAGUCUUAACUGGGCGUUAAGUUGCAGGGUAUAGACCCGAAACCCGGUGAUCUAGCCAUGGGCAGGUUGAAGGUUGGGUAACACUAACUGGAGGACCGAACCGACUAAUGUUGAAAAAUUAGCGGAUGACUUGUGGCUGGGGGUGAAAGGCCAAUCAAACCGGGAGAUAGCUGGUUCUCCCCGAAAGCUAUUUAGGUAGCGCCUCGUGAAUUCAUCUCCGGGGGUAGAGCACUGUUUCGGCAAGGGGGUCAUCCCGACUUACCAACCCGAUGCAAACUGCGAAUACCGGAGAAUGUUAUCACGGGAGACACACGGCGGGUGCUAACGUCCGUCGUGAAGAGGGAAACAACCCAGACCGCCAGCUAAGGUCCCAAAGUCAUGGUUAAGUGGGAAACGAUGUGGGAAGGCCCAGACAGCCAGGAUGUUGGCUUAGAAGCAGCCAUCAUUUAAAGAAAGCGUAAUAGCUCACUGGUCGAGUCGGCCUGCGCGGAAGAUGUAACGGGGCUAAACCAUGCACCGAAGCUGCGGCAGCGACACUAUGUGUUGUUGGGUAGGGGAGCGUUCUGUAAGCCUGUGAAGGUGUACUGUGAGGUAUGCUGGAGGUAUCAGAAGUGCGAAUGCUGACAUAAGUAACGAUAAAGCGGGUGAAAAGCCCGCUCGCCGGAAGACCAAGGGUUCCUGUCCAACGUUAAUCGGGGCAGGGUGAGUCGACCCCUAAGGCGAGGCCGAAAGGCGUAGUCGAUGGGAAACAGGUUAAUAUUCCUGUACUUGGUGUUACUGCGAAGGGGGGACGGAGAAGGCUAUGUUGGCCGGGCGACGGUUGUCCCGGUUUAAGCGUGUAGGCUGGUUUUCCAGGCAAAUCCGGAAAAUCAAGGCUGAGGCGUGAUGACGAGGCACUACGGUGCUGAAGCAACAAAUGCCCUGCUUCCAGGAAAAGCCUCUAAGCAUCAGGUAACAUCAAAUCGUACCCCAAACCGACACAGGUGGUCAGGUAGAGAAUACCAAGGCGCUUGAGAGAACUCGGGUGAAGGAACUAGGCAAAAUGGUGCCGUAACUUCGGGAGAAGGCACGCUGAUAUGUAGGUGAAGUCCCUCGCGGAUGGAGCUGAAAUCAGUCGAAGAUACCAGCUGGCUGCAACUGUUUAUUAAAAACACAGCACUGUGCAAACACGAAAGUGGACGUAUACGGUGUGACGCCUGCCCGGUGCCGGAAGGUUAAUUGAUGGGGUCAGCGCAAGCGAAGCUCUUGAUCGAAGCCCCGGUAAACGGCGGCCGUAACUAUAACGGUCCUAAGGUAGCGAAAUUCCUUGUCGGGUAAGUUCCGACCUGCACGAAUGGCGUAAUGAUGGCCAGGCUGUCUCCACCCGAGACUCAGUGAAAUUGAACUCGCUGUGAAGAUGCAGUGUACCCGCGGCAAGACGGAAAGACCCCGUGAACCUUUACUAUAGCUUGACACUGAACAUUGAGCCUUGAUGUGUAGGAUAGGUGGGAGGCUUUGAAGUGUGGACGCCAGUCUGCAUGGAGCCGACCUUGAAAUACCACCCUUUAAUGUUUGAUGUUCUAACGUGGACCCGUAAUCCGGGUUGCGGACAGUGUCUGGUGGGUAGUUUGACUGGGGCGGUCUCCUCCUAAAGAGUAACGGAGGAGCACGAAGGUUGGCUAAUCCUGGUCGGACAUCAGGAGGUUAGUGCAAUGGCAUAAGCCAGCUUGACUGCGAGCGUGACGGCGCGAGCAGGUGCGAAAGCAGGUCAUAGUGAUCCGGUGGUUCUGAAUGGAAGGGCCAUCGCUCAACGGAUAAAAGGUACUCCGGGGAUAACAGGCUGAUACCGCCCAAGAGUUCAUAUCGACGGCGGUGUUUGGCACCUCGAUGUCGGCUCAUCACAUCCUGGGGCUGAAGUAGGUCCCAAGGGUAUGGCUGUUCGCCAUUUAAAGUGGUACGCGAGCUGGGUUUAGAACGUCGUGAGACAGUUCGGUCCCUAUCUGCCGUGGGCGCUGGAGAACUGAGGGGGCUGCUCCUAGUACGAGAGGACCGGAGUGGACGCAUCACUGGUGUUCGGGUUGUCAUGCCAAUGGCACUGCCCGGUAGCUAAAUGCGGAAGAGAUAAGUGCUGAAAGCAUCUAAGCACGAAACUUGCCCCGAGAUGAGUUCUCCCUGACUCCUUGAGAGUCCUGAAGGAACGUUGAAGACGACGACGUUGAUAGGCCGGGUGUGUAAGCGCAGCGAUGCGUUGAGCUAACCGGUACUAAUGAACCGUGAGGCUUAACCUU
rnacentral:rRNA from 1 species